NNNNNNNNNNNNNNNNNNNNNNNNNNNNNNNNNNNNNNNNNNNNNNNNNNNNNNNNNNNNGGCGGCGCCCGCGCGGGGGCGUCGGAGGGGGCGGCGCCGAGCUGGAGUGGCGCGCGGAGGGGGUGGGGACGCGUCUCUGCCCUCGGCGGGGGUCGGAGUGGUCGCCGGGUUCCCCGAGCCCGGGCAGCGCCUGGCCUCCUGCGAAGUUCGGAGUGACCCCGGCCGCGCUCUGGGCGCCGCCUGGCGAGGGUUGGGGCGGGUCCCUUCGCCUCCUCGCUUGACGGUGUGAUUCACCCUGCCUUAUGUAAAUCCGCGGGAAGCUCUCCGAGCCACAGGGAAUGUGACUCCAGCCGGGUUAGGGGAAACGUCUGUAGCCGACAACUUUGGACCGACACCCCCUUUUCGAGCGCGCCUGCCACCGCGGGUCACUGGGGGCGUGUGCGCUCUGAGCCACCUCUCCGUUCAAAGCCACCAAGAAGGCUCUUGGAUAAGAAUUGGCUUCCCCCCUUCCCUCUCUGCAGGACUGUGUCCCCGAUCCAAACCAAGACUGCCAGGUACAUUAUUUUCCUGCUUGAAGAUCGUUUUCCUUGGUGUGUCUCUGUUAGAUCACGAGUUCAAGGAAUGCUUAAAUGAGCCCAUCCUUACGUUCCUGGCUGUCAAAGGCGGGUACCUGCACACCUUGUUUCAGGUAAAUCCUACUGGAUAGUUAGAAGGAGACCAGGAAGUGUGAUAGCCUUUGCAACUCAUCUGCCAGCCUGAAUGAGUCCCAUUUUUAAGACCACACUGUGUUUCUCUGUGUUUCUGGAAAGAAAGUCAGGGUUGACAGACAUGUGUAAUUUACGGUGAGACCAACAUUUUUAUGAACCUCUUUAUUCCACGUAGCUCUCUUUCUGACCUGCUUUUGGAAAAGGUUCCUGUAGCCACUGGUGUUAGAAGCAAGAAUCUAAAGGUCAGAGCAUUGGUGAAUUAAUUUAGUGAAUUUGAAGGCUGAUGCCGACACACAUCUCAGUCCCAUAGUGUCGCACUCGAGUUACAGGGUGUGGGGGUAAAAAUUCUGGGCUGGGCAUUUAGGGAUGAAAGUUUUCUUUCUCUGCUGGUAAUCUAACUCAACUGCCAUUUUUUGUUCAUAUGCGGAAGGCCAAGAACUAGACAGUAAGCGGGUCAUUGGCUUUGCUCAUGUCCUUAACGCCGCGUCGGGAGUUUUGGUCAAUUCUCUUCUCUUCAGCCUCCUCUUCCCUUCCUUCUUUGUGCCAGUUCUUCGUCCUGCCUCCUCUGCCUUGUGCUGGAAGCCAGGCUGGACCCGGAUCAGGCUAAGCCAGUCAUGGGGCCUUUAGUUCCUUUGCCCGUGCUAGGCUUAGGCAUAGACUUACAAAACCAUUCUGGCCAGUGAGACCUGGAGUCCCCAGGGAGGUUUUUGGAAAAGAUAUCCAUACUCUGGCCAGAAGACACAGACAAGAUAUGGCCCCUUUGCUUCAUGGUUCAGAUCCAGGUUCGAGGGCUUGGGCUUGGGAUGGUCACGGCAUAGGGGGGUGUGAGGGGAUCUACGCAGAUGCGUGGACAAUGGCAGAGCAGAAAGAUGGAAGGAACAUGGUCCUUGGUAAUGGCACCAAGCCCUCAAAGUAGUCAACUCUCACUUGCCACG
rnacentral:lncRNA from 1 species